AUUGAACGCUGGCGGCAGGCCUAACACAUGUAAGUCGAGCGGAUGAAGGGAGCUUGCUCCUGGAUUCAGCGGCGGACGGGUGAGUAAUGCCUAGGAAUCUGCCUGGUAGUGGGGGAUAACGUCCGGAAACGGGCGCUAAUACCGCAUACGUCCUGAGGGAGAAAGUGGGGGAUCUUCGGACCUCACGCUAUCAGAUGAGCCUAGGUCGGAUUAGCUAGUUGGUGGGGUAAAGGCCUACCAAGGCGACGAUCCGUAACUGGUCUGAGAGGAUGAUCAGUCACACUGGAACUGAGACACGGUCCAGACUCCUACGGGAGGCAGCAGUGGGGAAUAUUGGACAAUGGGCGAAAGCCUGAUACAGCCAUGCCGCGUGUGUGAAGAAGGUCUUCGGAUUGUAAAGCACUUUAAGUUGGGAGGAAGGGCAGUAAGUUAAUACCUUGCUGUUUUGACGUUACCAACAGAAUAAGCACCGGCUAACUUCGUG
rnacentral:rRNA from 1 species